CCCUUAGAUGUUCUGGGCUGCACACGUGCUACACUGGCAGGUUCAGCGAGCUUCAUGCCCUGAUCUGAAAGGAAUGGGAAAUCUUUUCAAAACCUGCCGUGCUUGGGAUAGAUGUUUGCAAUUAUUCAUCUUCAACGAGGAAUACCUUGUAAGCGCGGGUCAUCAUCCCGCGCUGAAUACGUCCCUGCCCUUUGUACACACCGCCCGUCGCUCCUACCGAUUGAGUGGUCCGGUGAGGCUUUGGGAUCUGAGCGGAAAGAGCGUUUCGCUGUUUCUGCUCGGAAAACUCAGUCGAACCUUAUCAUUUAGAGGAAGGAGAAGUCGUAACA
rnacentral:rRNA from 1 species